GGUGGCUAGAUGGAUUCACGGAUCCCAUUUUGUGUCUGCUUGUGCAUGGGUGUCUCUAGCUGUGUACUAGCUGUACCUGCAGAAAGCACAUACAAGUCAGUUAUUAAACAGACAGUACUCUGAAGAAUUUAAAACUUUGGGUUGAACAUGCAGAGAAGACGGAA